AAAAACUCCGGUGGUAUGAGAUGGACCCGCGUCUGAUUAGCUGGUUGGCGGGGUAACGGCCCACCAAGGCGACGAUCAGUAGCCGACCUGAGAGGGUGGCCGGCCACAUUGGGACUGAGACACGGCCCAAACUCCUACGGGAGGCAGCAGUGGGGAAUAUUGCACAAUGGGGGAAACCCUGAUGCAGCAACGCCGCGUGAGUGAAGAAGUAUUUCGGUAUGUAAAGCUCUAUCAGCAGGGAAGAAAAAAGACGGUACCUGACUAAGAAGCCCCGGCUAACUACGUGCCAGCAGCCGCGGUAAUACGUAGGGGGCAAGCGUUAUCCGGAUUUACUGGGUGUAAAGGGAGCGUAGACGGCAUAGCAAGUCUGAAGUGAAAGCCCGUGGCUCAACCGCGGAACUGCUUUGGAAACUGUUAAGCUGGAGUACUGGAGAGGCAAGCGGAAUUCCUAGUGUAGCGGUGAAAUGCGUAGAUAUUAGGAGGAACACCAGUGGCGAAGGCGGCUUGCUGGACAGAGACUGACGUUGAGGCUCGAAAGCGUGGGGAGCAAACAGGAUUAGAUACCCUGGUAGUCCACGCGGUAAACGAUGAAUGCUAGGUGUUGGCGGGCAAAGCCCGU
rnacentral:rRNA from 1 species